CCCGUCACGCCAUGGAAGCCGAUAGCACCCGAAGUCACCGGCUCAACCCCGCGCAAGCGGGAGAGAGGUGCCGAAGGUGAGAUUGGUGACUGGGGCG
rnacentral:rRNA from 1 species